GACACGGUGAUCUGGAUAGAAAAAAAAAAAAAGAGGAAAAGAAAAAGUAAUAAUAAUAAUAGUAACGAUAAAGGGAAAAAAUAGAAAGUCGAGCGAAUCGAGGCCUCGCACAUCGCUCUCCUCCGCCCGAUUGCUCGAACCGCGUCGUUUGCGCGUGGCCGAUAUCUCUGUGGAGCGGGGCCACGUGCUCGCAAAGUUAACUUAAUUACGGCCAAUUAAGCGUCAAUUAACCGAGUAGCACGGUCGGCUCGUAGCACAGCGCGCACGUAGAACGGCGGACGUCCACCGUACGGUGGCGCACGGUCGUCUGUCAAAGUAACGACGCAGGAACACGGCUGGUAUCUCGACCUUUGGACGGGGGAACGCUUGAGAUAAAUUAACAAACAUCGCGGUUUAAUUUUCGCGAAAUCUCGCGCGAGCGAAAGAAGGCUUUACCGAUCGAGCGUUCCCAACUUGCCAAUAUUUCUUCCGUUACCGGUCGAGCGUACGGAAUUAAUCACGAUUCGCCGUACGAUCCGCCGUUCAGAAUUUUUAUCGGAGCCCAUCGGGAGACAGGUAGACGUUGGGCGGGCCGAAUUCGAUUCCGAAAUUUAAAAGGAGUCGAGAGGUGAUGAAUAAUUGAUUAAAAAGUUGACGAAUCUUAUCUUCGGAUGGAAAAUAAACGGAGGAGGCGAAGAAUUUUGAAUUUGGAGGUGAGAAGGGGGAGAAAAAAAGGGAAGGAAAUUCGAAAAAAAUUUCGCGGCAAAUGAAGUCGUUCUCGUAAGGAUCGCAUAAGUUGUCGCACAACCACUUCCUUUUUACGCACGGACCGGCGAGAUCACUGACACUCACGGGAUGAGAGGUCGGCCGCAAUAAUUAAUCAUUCGUCUCCGAAGCAGCGGCAAAAAACCGACAACCGUGACGUGGACGGGCUGCGAAUACCAACAUCGGGAACGUGAACGAAAACAUUGACACGCGGUAAGAAAGUAAGAACCGUUCCUAAGAAUAGUAGCCCGUAUUCCAGAUACACGGAGCGAGCGCCACCGCGAAAGGAAAAAGGGACGGAGCGAGGAGCGGUAGCGCGAGAGGGAGAGAGAUGGAGGAUAUGGAGAACGUGCACGUGUGAAGUGAGAAGAAGAAGAAGAAGAAAAAAAAAAGUAUUACCGACGUAGCCGUGACUCGGAUCGUGCGUCCGCUUUUUUCGCUCGUGCUCGAUGGAUAAGAGGACAAAAAAAGCUCGAGAACAACUACUUUUUUUUCCCUUGCUACACGUUUUUUUUCUCUCUCCUCCUUUCCCGCUGGCUUGAACCGCGAUGGAGGAGGCUUCUUCCUCUUUUUUUUCUUUCUUUCCUUUCUUUUUUGCCUCAUCUCUCGUUGACUCGCGACGUGUCCUUCCGAAAGGAAAUUCUACACCUAGGACUAGUAGACGUUCUACAUAACAGUAGAACGAUGAAAUAAGUUUACGCGCGAGAGGCAAUCGGUCGGAUUGUCAAUCCGGGAGAUUGUAUUUCGCUUCGUUGCGUUUCAAUUAUAAUCUCGGUCGAUAUCGGGCGAAAAAUUAAUUGCGCGGAACGUUUUGCUUUUUGUUUUUCAAAAAUACAAACUUUAUUUCGACCGAUACAUCAUCGUUAACGAAAGUGUACGGAACGAGUGGUCGGAUGAAAUUAAAAAAUUUCACAAAGUAAAAUCUAAGACGCGAAAUGGGUCAAGGACACCAUCUAUCACGCCGAUAAAAAGAUGCUCCAUUUAACGGACUCAAAAAUCACGCACAACGACGAAAUCCGAAUCCUUGAUCGAGUGGCUCCCUUCCAACGAAACGAAACGAGACACGAUUGGACAAAGAUUCCCACGGAAAUCAAUUAACCGUGCAGCCACGAUACACGAGAACCCUCCCCUCCCUCUCUCUCUCUCGAGGCGCCCCCAACUUCCCGAUUCCAUUUCCACCACGUGCUGGUUAAUGAAGCGGGGCCGAAAAGGAAGCGGAAAGAAUCCAGGUGGAGAGAAGGCGCUCGAGGCGGGGAAGAGGAAGAGGAUGCGACGAAAGCGUGCGCCAGUGAGAGAAGGAGGGAGAGGAGGAGGAGGAGGAGGAAGAGCUUAAAGGCAAUGGGGCGACAAAAGUCAACGGUGCUAAAAGCGCCACAUGGACUAGCUGUGGAGUUUGGUCGCCUGCGCGUUUAUUCCAAUCGGAAACGACAGCAUCCGUGAGCCCCAGGAACGAGGACAAUCUAUGACCAGAUGUGCGAUUGUGCCAAGAAUCGAGAGUGACUCAUUCUCCGGUACGUAAGGGGCAGAAACCGUUCGAAGACCGAUGCAGAUGCACCACCGCGAAUGUGCUGCGUCCUGGCUUAUCGUUUCAAAAUUUCGCCUUUUUCGAAAUCUUCGUCGGCAGAAUAUUUCAGAAGAGAGGAUUCCAUAUAAUUUUAUAAUUUUAAGAGCAACGUUAUUGUACGAAAGGGACCUCGAAUUCUAAUUAUACUUCUCCCUUAUUUCGCGAUACUUUCCAAACAGCGUGAAAUUGAAAUUUUCUCUUGGGAAAAAAAAAAGAAAAGAAAGAAAGAAAAAUCGUUUCCCUUCCGAACCCUAAGGAUACAAUCUUGGAAUAAACCGUCAAACGAUAAGAAGAAUUAAGAAUUGUUCUACGAGAGAGAAAGAGAGGUUCCUAGGUGCGCUGAUAAAUUGAAUCGAGGAGCAGGAUGAGAAAAAAACGCCAGGAUCAUCGUGGGCGUCCAGGAAAAUAAAUGUCAACGUUAAAUAUUCAUACAGCAACGUUGCUUUGGAAUUACAUAGCUCGAUACAACGAGACGCGAAUCUCAAUAUAUUAUUCACGCAUGACCGAUCCACUCGAUUUCCAUAGAUCGAAGGGCUACUUGCCGACUACCCUGAAUCGAGUUGGAACUGAUAUCACAAUUAACAACGGCAGAAAAAGAGAAAAAAACCAAAAAAGUCGCGAUUCGAUCAUGUACGUACCUAUUCAAAACGAAGAAACGCAUCGUCGUCACACUACACGGUCGAUGGAUAAAGAAUAGCAGGCUGGACGCGUUCUAAUGUAACGAGCAACAACACACCGGGUAGAUUGCUCCGUGGGUCGCUGACCAUACCCAACAUUUAACGCCGGUGUACCGUUACGCGCGGUCUGCGGGGUGCCAAUCGUUUCUUAUCCGGAUUAAAACUCGUUAAGGCACCCUGCCCACCCUCUGGGACAAGGCAGUUUAUGACACUCGGUGUAUUCCGGGCCCUCGUGUUCAGGUAACACGGCCGCGACGCCAUUAUGCCUCUUCUUCCACGAUUCCUGCCCAUCUUUCGCGCUUUCGAGUACAAUGGAAUAAUAGAAGAAUAGGAGAAAUGAGGAGUGGAUUAUCCUCGAAUAUUAGGGGAGUCAUUUUUUUACUUUCCGUUUCAAAUUAAUUCUCUUUCGAGUAAAAAUGAAAUACACGGAAGAGUAUUCAGAAUCGGGGGAGACCCGUUAUCUCCGAAACACGUUCUUCUCCCCGAGACAAAACGAUCGGAAGGCGCUUUCGAAAAACCGAUUCCAAGUUAACGUCGGACAAACAAGGAAAAGAGGCGAAUGCCAGGAGAGGAGAAGCGGAGAAAGGAGAGAGGGGCGACACGGCGAGGAGACAGAGAGAAUCUCAGCGACGCGCCGGCUAGACGGCAUCGUAAACUUGGGUCGAGAAACUUUUGAAUUUUAGUAAGAGCCGCUCUUUCUCUCUAUCUCCUCUCCCUCCCCUCCUGUCCCUGCCCCUUAUAAAUUAGAGACUCCCCCCUCUCCAAGCCACACGAGGCUCCCUUCACGAGGAGCUGUUUCCUCACCGAGCGAAGCGCCGAUCAGGGGGAAUCCUGGUGGCGCGUACCGAGCUGCCGUACCGGAAGAUACCGCGCCGCUACACGCGCCUCCGACUUAGGCCGGACAGAGGUCGCCAGGAGUAUCGAAAAAAGGACGAGGUUUGCUUCCUGACUAAAAGAACAGGGAAGAAAGAGUCGAUAACGCUCCGAGAGAAACUUGUUGAUGUCCAGGUUAAAGGAGAAUACUUUGCUACUUUCAGUUCUCGGUAAAAAUAUGGUUUCGAGGAUUUGGUUUCGAAGGACAAAAGAAGAAGAAAUCGCACCCCCUGGCUACUCUAAUUGGAAAAUUCGACCCGGUGUUGCGAAUAUGAUAUUUAUAACGGGGGGAUUUGGUUUCAUCGAGGGGUAAUUUCUCUCUGUCUCUCCUUAUUCGGUUAUUCAACAUCUAUUUAGCAUAGAAACGCUCUUCUGGGUCAUAGGUAUUCAGAUUUUCUGUUCCAGGCACCUAGUUUCCUUCCAGGAUUCGCGAAGGGUGCCGCACAGGGAGGGUGGCCCUGAGGGGGACAAGGGUGAAGCGACUAGAUGAAAGGAGGGGUAGUUAGAGAGGGCUGAGACGAAAAAGGGAGGAGAUCGUGGAGGCAAAAGGAAGCAGACGGGUGUAAGGAGAGAAAGAGCUGGGAAAAGAAAGAAAAAGCGACAUGGAGAGAGAGAGAGAGAGAGAGAGAGAGAGGGGAUAAUUCCACGGCUAAAUAUCGGUAAAAAUCAAUACUAUCUCUUUCCUCGGUGCACCGCCAUCGUAGCUAAUAAUGCACGAAAAGAAUAUGAAUCUUUGAAAAGAGUGGUGUGUCGCCCCCAUUAAUUUCACAGAACGCUUAUCAAUCGUUAAUAACUAUCCGAUUUCUAAUUGAAAUUAAAAAUUUCUAUAUAUAUAUGUAUAUAUUAAUUCAAUUAUAUAUCGAAUCAAAAAGAGAAUUAUUAAUAUAAAUUUUGUUUCAUCUGGAGGAUAUAUCAUACGAAAAUAUAUCAAAAUACGUUGCGUUACGUCAAAUAGAUAAAAAUGUUCGGAUCUUAAAAUUAUUAUUUGUUCUUCCGUUUCAUUAAUUAUAUUCCUUCUCUCUUUCUCUCUCGUUUCCAGCGAUAUUAAAUAUCGUGCAAUUGUUAUUAGCAAAUUGAUCGAGAAUUAAUUAAUAAUAAUAUUUUCUAACCGACAGGUGGUGAAUUCGAUGAGCAUUGUGUAUGCAGCUAGUCGUAAAUAUGACGUAGCUUCUACGUAAAUUCGAGCGUUAAUUGCGUUCAUUUCGAAGUCUUCGCCAAUUCUUGAUAAUUUCCUUAAAAUUCGUCGAUAAACAUUACGCACAAAUAUUAUUAUUAUUAUUAUAUUAUUUCCCUGAAAAACUUCGAAAAUAUCAGAAUCACGCGAAAAUCCCUUCUUGGCAAAUUUCAAACUCCGAAUAUAAUAAAUCAUCCGUAUCGAUAAUCGAAAAAUAUAAUUCUGUACAAAGUAUUAAAAUUCUAUUAUAAAAUAAUUUGUCACAUUCGACUAACGUGACAUUAGUUGAAUUGACAAAUUGUAAAUUUAUCGAUAUAAAGUGAGGGGGAAAAAAAAAAAAGUGGAAUUUUUCGUCACGUCGAAUUCAUUUUCAUUAGCUUAUUAUAGUACGUUAUUAAUAACGACAACAUAUUUAUAUCUUGUAUCUUACUCGCGUGUAACGUUACCGGUAUCGGAUCGACGCAAGAGGAUCUAAACUGUAUAAUUAGUGGUCAACUUUUAAGAAACCGAACGAGUUAUCUCGAUCGAUUUAACUCCUACGUGACUCAUACGGCAUACUUGUGUAACGAUCGUUAUUAUAUCGUUAUUAUAAUGAUACGUGAUACGCGAAUCAUUGAAAAAUCCGACUAAUCAACCAUCGAAAUAUUGUUACGGGAUAAUUCCAUUGUUUUAAUCAUUCAAAAUAAACAUCCGAUGAAAUCUUGCUCUCUCCUCGAUCA